AUACAGUACCUGCAUCCACAUAGCAAGAACUGCAAAUCAAAUCUCUGAUAUUUAUUUUCUUUUCAUCUCUGUUACUUGCACAAGUUAAAUGAUUCCUAAAACCAGAAGGGUAAUAAUUUUUAUUUUAUCUGGUCAAUAAAACAGCAAGAAAUAAGAACUAUGAAAGCAAGUGAUUUAAAUGACUCAUCACUGAAAUGGUAACAGACCUGAACUCCUUGUAGCGAUAG
rnacentral:misc_RNA from 1 species